AUUUCUUGAAGAUGCAGUAUUCUAGUCAGUUUCUUUACUAGGAAGACGAAGUAAUAGCGUCGAGAGGCACAUCGAUGAAGUUUCUGGUGCAUGCUUUGGUUGCCCAAACUGGGGCAGGUGCUGGAAGUUAAGAAUCUUGGGCAGGUUAUAAUGGCAUAUAACUGUCGACCCAAUUUUCGCGGAGACCUAACAGGGUGGUUUUCCACUCUCUAGGGAAAGAACCUGCAUUGCGGUAAAAGCUGUGUGCAGUGUAGCCUACUUUGAGUGAGUGUAUGGGGAUUAGGCGUUAAGAAUAUCUCUUUAUGUGGGCCAACAUGAAGAUUUAUUUGCUUAUGAAACUAUGCUUGCAAAAGAAGAGAAUAGUUGAUGAAACUGUCAAGGAAAACUUCUAGACUGUUGCAUUCUUGCAGACAAAGAUAGGAUUAUAGUGUGUUCUGAGUGGCGAUUCGGUGUUAUGUCUUGCUUAAAAGGAAACUGCCCAGAUGGCGACAUUGGGUGCGAGAAUGGGAAAUCCGACCGAACCUAUGACACAAGGUUUACUAUUUUUGUUGUCU
rnacentral:sRNA from 1 species